CCUACGUGAGGCAGCAGUGAGGAAUAUUGGUCAAUGGGCGCGAGCCUGAACCAGCCAAGUAGCGUGAAGGAUGACUGCCCUACGGGUUGUAAACUUCUUUUAUAAAGGAAUAAAGUGAGGCACGUGUGCCUUUUUGUAUGUCCUUUAUGAAUAAGGAUCGGCUAACUCCGUGCCAGCAGCCGCGGUAAUACGGAGGGUCCGAGCGUUAUCCGGAUUUAUUGGGUUUAAAGGGAGCGUAGAUGGGUUGUUAAGUCAGUUGUGAAAGUUUGCGGCUCAACCGUAAAAUUGCAAUUGAUACUGGCAGUCUUGAGUACAGUUGAGGUAGGCGGAAUUCGUGGUGUAGCGGUGAAAUGCUUAGAUAUCACGAAGAACUCCGAUUGCGAAGGCAGCUUACUAAACUGCCACUGACAUUGAUGCUCGAAAGUGUGGGUAUCAAACAGGAUUAGAUACCCGUGUAGUC
rnacentral:rRNA from 1 species